GUGAGUUUAAUCAGGCUGUUUAUCCCUUCAAAGUGAGCGUUUCGCUUGGAGUAAAUAGGAGAGCUCAGUGGGCUCAGCCAUGCAGGGCUCAUCCCAGGGACCUUCUGCUAACGGUGCAGAGGGAGCGGUGGGGGAGAGAGGUACAGACAGGGGUUUGGGUUAAGGUUUGGGUUGGUUUGGGUUUGGGUUGGUUUGGGUUUGGGUUAAGGUUUGGGUUGGUUUGGGUUUGAGUUGGUUUGGGUUUGGGUUGGUUUGGGUUUGGGUUGGUUUGGGUUUGGGUUUGGGUUUGGGUUUGGGUUUGGGUAUGGAUUUGAGUUUGGGUUUGGGUUGGUUUGGGUUUGGGUUGGGUUUGGGUUUCAGUUUGGGUUUGGGUUGGUUUGGGUUUGAGUUCAUGUUUGGGUUUGAGUUGUGGUUUGAGUUUACUUUGAGUUUGGGUUAGGCUUUGGGUUUGGGUUUGAGUUUGGCUUUGGGUUUGGCCGUGGCUUAAGGUUUGUGUUUGUGUUUGGCUUAGGGUUUGGCUUAGAAUUUGGGUUUGGGUUUGGCUUGGGGUAAGAGUUAGGGUGAGAGACAGGAUGUGGCCUUAUGAUGGCUGGGGGUGGGUAGGAGGACUCUGGGGAGGCAAUCGGUCCGCCUGCCUUCCCCCCUCACUCUGUGCCCUGUGCUGAUGGAGUCAAGGUGCAGCGCUUAAACUGCUGAUGCUGGCGCUUGCACAGGACCUUGUGUAUGAGCUGCACUGUUGUUUUGUUGCAGACGUGUGUGAAAAAUUACCCUGCUGAAGCUACACUAAUGGCAGCCCGCAGUGUGUAUACCUGCAAGCACAGAAUGCAAAGUCUGACCCUGCCAGGUCGGGAUACAGCGCAGCUCUCUCCCACUAUUGAGAGCCUGAACAGCAGCAGCGUCAGUGAACCCCGUUUAUAUGCUGGGACUUUAUGGUGUUGGUACUGUGAAAGGAAACAAAAGUGCUCCUUUAGCCCUAAAGGGCUGAGGAUGGGGCUGUGGGCACCCACGGCCCAUAACCUCCUCCUCUGCGUCUCUUUAGACUUCAUGCCAUUUGCACUCUACAGACCAUUAACGCGAAGGCGUUGAUCAAACCUCUGUGACUAACUGGAAAUUGAGGUCUUAUUCCUCCCUUCCCUCCAGUAAGAGCCGCAGUCACUUCAGCUGACCUGAGAAACCAACACCGACAAACACCUCUCAAACCCAUUCUACCCUCACCCAACCUAUGGCUCUCCACAUCUCCACGUGAGAGCUCUGUGUCAGAGAAACACAUCAGGGGCACAAUUAAAAGGGAGAGCAGUUU
rnacentral:lncRNA from 1 species